UACAGAGGUCCCAAGCGUUGUUCGGAUUUACUGGGCGUAAAGGGCGCGUAGGCGGCGCAACAAGUCACUUGUGAAAUCUCCGAGCUUAACUCAGAACGGCCAAGUGAUACUGCAGUGCUAGAGUGUGGAAGGGGCAAUCGGAAUUCUUGGUGUAGCGGUGAAAUGCGUAGAUAUCAAGAGGAACACCUGAGGUGAAGACGGGUUGCUGGGCCAACACUGACGCUGAUGCGCGAAAGCCAGGGGAGCAAACGGG
rnacentral:rRNA from 1 species